rnacentral:rRNA from 1 species
UACGGAGGGUGCAAGCGUUAUUCGGAAUUACUGGGCGUAAAGCGCACGUAGGCGGCCUUGUAAGUCAGGGGUGAAAUCCCACGGCUCAACUGUGGAACUGCCUUUGAAACUGCAGGGCUUGAAUCCUGGAGAGGGUGGCGGAAUUCCUGGUGUAGGAGUGAAAUCCGUAGAUAUCAGGAGGAACACCGGUGGCGAAGGCGGCCACCUGGACAGGUAUUGACGCUGAGGUGCGAAAGUGUGGGGAGCAAACAGG